rnacentral:hammerhead_ribozyme from 1 species
AUCCAACAGACGAGUGCCACAUAGGACGAAAUGCGCGUCCUGGAU